rnacentral:rRNA from 1 species
AUUGAACGCUGGCGGCAUGCCUUACACAUGCAAGUCGAACGGCAGCACGGGAGCAAUCCUGGUGGCGAGUGGCGAACGGGUGAGUAAUAUAUCGGAACGUGCCCAGUCUGGGGGAUAACGUAGCGAAAGCUACGCUAAUACCGCAUACGAUCUAUGGAUGAAAGCGGGGGAUCGCAAGACCUCGCGCGAUUGGGAGCGGCCGAUAUCAGAUUAGGUAGUUGGUGAGGUAAAGGCUCACCAAGCCGACGAUCUGUAGCUGGUCUGAGAGGACGACCAGCCACACUGGGACUGAGACACGGCCCAGACUCCUACGGGAGGCAGCAGUGGGGAAUUUUGGACAAUGGGCGCAAGCCUGAUCCAGCAAUGCCGCGUGCAGG